rnacentral:rRNA from 1 species
AUACGUAGGGGGCGAGCGUUGUCCGGAUUUAUUGGGUUUAAAGGGAGCGUAGGCGGGAGCUUAAGUCAGCGGUUAAAUGGUGCGGCUCAACCGUGCCCUGCCGUUGAAACUGGGUUUCUUGAGAGUGCAAGAGGCGGAUGGAAUUCAUGGUGUAGCGGUGAAAUGCUUAGAUAUCAUGAAGAACUCCGAUUGCGAAGGCAGUCCGCUGGGGCACGUCGGACGCUGAUGCUCGAAGGUGCGGGAACCAAACAGGAUUAGAUACCCUGGUAGUCCGCACGGUAAACGAUGAUUACCCGCUGUCGGCGGCAGACAGUCGGCGGCCAAGCGAAAGCGAUAAGUAAUCCACCUGGGGAGUACGCCGGCAACGGUGAAACUUAAAGGAAUUGACGGGG